GCAGAGAUCGCUUAGCUUGGUAUGGCGCGGGCCUUGAGAGCCUGUGUGUUAUUAACACUCGAGGGUUCAAAUCCCUCUCUCUGCG
rnacentral:tRNA from 1 species